rnacentral:rRNA from 1 species
AGAGUUUGAUCCUGGCUCAGGACGAACGCUGGCGGCGUGCUUAACACAUGCAAGUCGAACGAGAAUCUGCUGAAGGAGGAUUCGUCCAACGGAAGCAGAGGAAAGUGGCGGACGGGUGAGUAACGCGUGAGGAACCUGCCUUGAAGAGGGGGACAACAGUUGGAAACGACUGCUAAUACCGCAUGACGCAUAGAGGUCGCAUGAUCUUUAUGCCAAAGAUUUAUCGCUUCAAGAUGGCCUCGCGUCUGAUUAGCUGGUUGGCGGGGUAACGGCCCACCAAGGCGACGAUCAGUAGCCGGACUGAGAGGUUGAACGGCCACAUUGGGACUGAGAUACGGCCCAGACUCCUACGGGAGGCAGCAGUGGGGAAUAUUGGGCAAUGGGCGCAAGCCUGACCCAGCAACGCCGCGUGAAGGAAGAAGGCUUUCGGGUUGUAAACUUCUUUUAAGAGGGAAGAGCAGAAGACGGUACCUCUAGAAUAAGCCACGGCUAACUACGUGCCAGCAGCCGCGGUAAUACGUAGGUGGCAAGCGUUGUCCGGAUUUACUGGGUGUAAAGGGCGUGCAGCCGGGUCUGCAAGUCAGAUGUGAAAUCCAUGGGCUCAACCCAUGAACUGCAUUUGAAACUGUGGAUCUUGAGUGUCGGAGGGGCAAUCGGAAUUCCUAGUGUAGCGGUGAAAUGCGUAGAUAUUAGGAGGAACACCAGUGGCGAAGGCGGAUUGCUGGACGAUAACUGACGGUGAGGCGCGAAAGUGUGGGGAGCAAACAGGAUUAGAUACCCUGGUAGUCCACACUGUAAACGAUGAAUACUAGGUGUGCGGGGACUGACCCCCUGCGUGCCGCAGUAAACACAAUAAGUAUUCCACCUGGGGAGUACGAUCGCAAGGUUGAAACUCAAAGGAAUUGACGGGGGCCCGCACAAGCGGUGGAUUAUGUGGUUUAAUUCGAAGCAACGCGAAGAACCUUACCAGGGUUUGACAUCCUGCUAACGAAGUAGAGAUACAUUAGGUGCCCUUCGGGGAAAGCAGAGACAGGUGGUGCAUGGUUGUCGUCAGCUCGUGUCGUGAGAUGUUGGGUUAAG